rnacentral:rRNA from 1 species
UACGUAGGGGGCAAGCGUUGUCCGGAAUCAUUGGGCUUAAAGCGCGCGUAGGCGGCCCGGUAAGUCCGUUGUGAAAGUCAAAGGCUCAACCUUUGAACGCCGAUGGAUACUGCCGGGCUAGAGUCCGGGAGAGGCGAGUGGAAUUCCUGGUGUAGCGGUGGAAUGCGCAGAUAUCAGGAGGAACACCAAUAGCGAAGGCAGCUCGCUGGGACGGUACUGACGCUGAGGCGCGAAAGCGUGGGGAGCGAACAGG